rnacentral:rRNA from 1 species
CCUACGGGGGGCAGUAGUGAGGAAUAUUGGUCAAUGGACGAGAGUCUGAACCAGCCAAGUAGCGUGAAGGAUGACUGCCCUAUGGGUUGUAAACUUCUUUUAUAUGGGAAUAAAAUGUUCCACGUGUGGGAUUUUGUAUGUACCAUAUGAAUAAGGAUCGGCUAACUCCGUGCCAGCAGCCGCGGUAAUACGGAGGAUCCGAGCGUUAUCCGGAUUUAUUGGGUUUAAAGGGAGCGUAGGUGGAUUGUUAAGUCAGUUGUGAAAGUUUGCGGCUCAACCGUAAAAUUGCAGUUGAAACUGGCAGUCUUGAGUACAGUAGAGGUGGGCGGAAUUCGUGGUGUAGCGGUGAAAUGCUUAGAUAUCACGAAGAACUCCGAUUGCGAAGGCAGUUCACUGGACUGCAACUGACACUGAGGCUCGAAAGUGUGGGUAUCAAACAGGAUUAGAUACCCUUGUAGUC